CUCUGCCUGUGUCUGCCUCUAUCUCAUGAAUGGAUAAAUAAAAUCUUUAAAAGAAAAAAAAAGGAAUCAUGGUUCCUUCAAAAGUCAGAAGAUAAAAUAUAAAAGGGUUUUAACAGGCAAAAUUCCACCUUUGACCCCUUGGAGGAAGCCAAAAUGGCUAGUUUCUUGUGCAUCCUUCUGGAGAGGACAUCUGGGAAAAAUAGAUACUCCCCAGGUAGUUUUAGCAUAGUUCACUUGAAUUUUACAAAGGCAAGUAAUAGUAUUGCAGCUCUUAACACUAGGAAACUAUUUGUAAUUAAAUUUUUGUUUACUGUUAAUGUCCAUCUAUUUAUACUUAUUUUGAUUAUUUCUUUUUAAAAAAACGUAUGUAUGUAUUCAUGAGAGACAUGCAGAGGCAGGCUCCAUGCAGGAAACCUGAUGCGGGACUCCCAUCACGCUCUGAGCCAAAGGCAGACGCUCAACCUCUGAGCCACCCAGGCGUCCCUAUUUUGAUUAUUUCUAAGGAAGUCGUAGAAUUAAGAUUUUUAAGCAGGGGUAGGAUUUAAAUCCUGGUUCAGUUCCUAGCAGUCCUAAAGCGUUAAAAAAAAAUGUGUUAUUUUGAUAACAGGAAAAUCCCUUACAAAAAGCUGUAUAUCCUCUUCACACUCUCUUAAUUAUUUCUGUAAUUGUUUCAUUUACAUAUUUUUUUCCUCAAUCAUGAAAGUAAGUCUUGCUGUUUUAUCCCUAAAAACUAUUUCCUAGGAAUGGGACAUUCUCUUCAUGUAACUACAGUGCCUACUGAAAAUAGCAUCAAUAAAGUAGUUUCUAAUCCAUGGUCCAUAGUUCUAUUUCAUUAAUUGUCCAUCAAUGUCCUUUAUAUGAGCCAGGAUCAUUUGCCACACUUUGUUGUCUGUUCUUUGGUCUCGUUUAAUCUGGACCAGGUCCUCAGCCUUUUUCUUGACCGUGUCAUUUUUGAAGAGUAGAGGACAAUUAUUUAGAGAAUUUCCCUCAUUUGGGUUUGCCUGAUGUCUUCUCAUUACUGCAUUUUUAGCAGGAAUAUCAUGAGAAUGAGACAGGACUGUCAGUGCAUCAUGUCUAGUCGUUUUGUAAUAACCUGUAAAUUCGUAUUUCCUGUGAGAGUCGUAAGGUUAAAGUUCUUGUUUUUAGGGAGAGAGCCAGUCAUUUCCAAAUUUAAGAGCUGCUGAAGGGAGUUCUGUUGGCACUAGAUUGUACUCCAUUACCAUUCAAAGUAGGAGAGUGGAUAGAUAAAAGAUCAAAUAGAACUCUGUCCUAAUUCAGGAAACAGCGCCCUCUAGUAUUGUGGGGAUAAAUGCUGUUAUCAAAGCACUUGGCAGUCACUCCUUAAAGAUUAGCUGCUCUUAGUAAAACAUUCUGUAAAUCGCCAAACCUUAAAACUCUUCUAGCCAGUUGAGGAAAGGGUAGACAAAGCAGAAUUGCUGAAUAUGGUGCUCAAGUAUUAAAGUGGCCACUACUAUCACUAUUCUAAGCAGUCUUGAGUGUGCUAUUUAAAUACAUUGCUGUUCCUUUGAUUUUACAAGAUUGUAGACAGCAGCUAGAAGAAUAGUAUGAUGAGCCUACUGGAUACUACAUGCUUCCUCUCCAAGGUAAUUUUGAAAGAACCCUAGACACUCCAGCUGAAGGUAGUUCACUGUGCACCUCUAAAAGACAUCUUAAGUCUCCUUAAUCUCUUGUUCUUUGCAGUAUAUUUGUUGAAGGUCAUGAGUAGUUUCUCAGUCUUGAUUUUGCUCAUUGCAUCCUCCUGAUACCAUUUAGCAUGUUCUAGACCUGAGAACAGUGCUUCUCAAAUUGUGCCUGGACCAGUAACCUCAGCAUCAUCUGGGAAUUUGUUUAAAAUGUAGUUUCUUAAGCCUGACCUUAGAUCACUGAAUCAGAAACUUAAGUGGAGCCCAGCCACAGGCGUUCCAAGUGAUUCUGGUGCAUGCUCAAAUUUGAGACCCAUUUUAGAGGCUUUUAUCAGAUUCUGGUGGGGGGAGAUGUUCUUCCCAAAAAAUACAUGGGUAUUUUUUGUCAUUGGCAGCCAUUGAUGAUCUUUGCCUAGAUUCAUUAAACCAUGAACCCAUGAUUUGUUUUUUUUAUAUAUAAAUUUAUUUUUUAUUGUUCAAUUUGCCAACAUAUAGAAUAACACCCAGUGCUCAUCCCAUCAAGUGCCCACCUCAGUGCCCGUCACCCAGUCACGCCCACCCCACCUCCCCUUCCACCACCCCUAUAACCCAUGAUUUGAAACACAUUUUUCAGUCCAUGGCAGUUUUCCUUAUUGGUGUUACCUUGUUCUACCUUUAGUCAGUGGAAGUCCAUGCAAGUUGCCUCCUGAGUUCCUUCAGAGCAGCCCUAAAAUAAUCUUAACAGUUUCCUUGCUUUUUUAGUAUGGUAGGAUUUUCAGGUUCAACUUUCUAGUCUCAGACCUGCUCCAACAAGCCCUGGUUAUCUGUAUUGAAAGGGUAUUUAGCAAGCGCAAUCUGGGCCCUUGGGUGUUCAUUGCUUCCAGUUGGGUCUUUCUCAGUCCCCUUCCAGAUCAGACUACUUUCUGCUCUUGUGAAGGGCUUGCAUGCUAAAAAUCCCCUCAGCUGACUUGGUGCAGCAGUGAAGCCACUAGCCAUCUCUCUCGUCUUCCGGUAUUCUGGUUGGUCAGGGUCCCUCUUACAGAGUGAAGCCUGCUAGUAAGAGACAGCAUUACAGAGAAACUUUAAUCUACUCAGCAGAGCAAGUAGUGUGUGGACACCCUGCCCUAAUAGAUGUUCAGCUGAAUUCUGGGUCAGUUCUGGCAAAGGAGUGAGGAAACUUUAACAUCCCUAUAAGAACCUCUUCUGCUUCUUCAGAGAGUUUAAAGCAAAUAAUGUGGCCUCUUGCUCUGGAUAACAGGAAUAGAGGGAAAUUCAGAGUCUAAAUUGCAGUGUGAUUGUAGAGUACACAACAGCGUUAUAAUUGGAAUGAGGAAAUAAGAUCUUAACAGCUUUCGUCCACCUUUGGAUGACAUUCUCCUGCAGACCUAGUAAGAACUCAAGCAUGGAUAGCUGUGGCUGUGACUUAGUAAUAAGCUGAUCAGUGUAAUACCCUGAGUCAUAAUGUCCAAACUCACAUUCAAUAAACACUUAUUAAAGGCCUUGCCAGGGGCGCCUGAGUGGCUCAGUCGGUUAAGUGUGUCAUUGGCUGAGGUCAUGACCCCAGGGUCUGGGGAUGAAGCGCUGCAUCAGGCUCCUUGCUCACCAGGGAGCCUGUUUCUUCCUCUCCCUCUGCCUGCUGCUCCCCCUGCUUGUGUUCUCUUUGUCAAAUGAAGAAAAUCUAAUAAAUACAUGCAUGCCUUGCCAGAUUCUUUUGUAGAUCCACAUAUAUUUGUAUACCCAAUCCUCCCUUCAUUAGAAUACCUACUGUCCCUUGAUUUAGCCAGUAGAACUUUGGCAGGUAUGACCUGUUUAUUAGACUAGAUAUUACCCUCCCCUCCCCCAAAGAUGCCUAUCUUUCAACCCUAUAACCUGGGAGUAUAUUACCUUUCAUGGUAAAAGGAACUUUGAAAUGUGACUAAAUUAAAGUCUGGAAAUGGGAAGAUUAUCCUGGGUUAUCCUUGUGGGCCCAGUGUAAUCACAAUAGGAAGCUUGGGAGGUAAAAAGAUCAGAAAAAGUUGAUGUGAAAACCAGCAAAAUCAGAUUAGAAGAUACUACCCUACCAGCCUUGAAGACAGAAGGGACUGCUAGGCAAUAAAAGUAAAUUCUCUACAGCCUCUGGAGGAAGCACAGAUCUACCCACAGCUUGACCUUGUGAAGGUCCUCUCCAGGCUAAACCUCCCCUCAGCUCAUUUGGACUUCUGACCUCUACAACUCCACUGACAAGCUAAUUCUUUCAGAAGAAAGUCCUUGGUACUGGACUUCCUUGGAGAUCCAAUUUGGGCUUCUGGCCUCCGGAACUACAAGACACAGAAGCAGAGACACAGGAGGGAGAAGCAGGCUCCAUGCCGGGAUCCCAAUGUAGGGCUCGAUCCCGGGACUCCAGGACCACGCCCUGGGCCAAAGGCAGGUGCUAAACCGCUGAGCCACCCAGGGAUACCCGUGAUUGAGUGAUUCUUUUUUGUUAGGUUCCUCAGCGUCUUCCUAAGUGGAAUUUUACCAGUAUGUUGAGGACAAGGUUCCGAUAUUUAGCAGCCUGGAGUUAAGGGAAAUAGCUGAGACUCUGGCCCUCACUGAAAACAAAUUCUAGCAGUUACAAACAUAAGGUUUCAUUCCCAAAAUCAAAUAAAAAUUUUGUCAAUAUCUGAUGUUCUGGGUAAUGUAAACCCAUGCCCUGGGGGAGAGCAGGACCUGAAGCUGAUUCUAUUUGGAAACUUGGGUCUCCCUUGCCUUUCCCCCUAUGGAGCCCACACCUGGAGGUGUCCAGUCUAUACUGGUUUCAGUUUCUAUUCACAGUAUCAACUGGACUUAAGAUCCCAUCUCCUGCCAUUAAGUGUGCGAUGAAACCCAAGUCCCUAUGACCACUUCAGGACAAGCCAGACACCAGGCCACCUCCCUCCCUAUUGCUCUGUUUCCCUCUUUUUGUUUCUGACUCCUGCUGGUUACCUUUUCUUGCAAAUUCAGACAUGACUUUACUCUUCUUCCUUUGCUUGCUUUUUUCUUGUAAUAUUUUACACAGGAUUUUGGGGGUGUUUAUGCUAGAAGGGGCUCCCUAUUAGUAAAAUCUGUCAUGUUGGAACCAGAAGUGUUUCCACACUGAACACAAAGGGCACAUUUUAUGAUUUUCCUAAAAUACAUAGACUGCCCCAAUGGUGAAUUAAAUUCUGUAAAAAUAGGUGUGGGCUGCUUAAAACAGUUUUCCCAGCGCUUCUAUUAACAUUUCAAAUUUAGGCCCACUCAGGUAGAAGAUUAACUUGGAGAAGACAACUGAGAGCUAUUGAGUUGCACAAGAGGGGUCUGUCACCAGAGGGAAGAACUGGACUUGCUCCCAUGCUCCUGAGAGCAUACUGGAGCAGCAGAACAAAUGCUGGCUAUGAGAGAGACAACUUCCCCCAGAAAACACCAGCUUGGGAGGAGCUCUCCAUCCCUGACGUCCCCGUCAGGCAAGCAAGACCAUCGAAAGUAUCAGGACCACCUGUUCAUACUGUUAACCGGCAGAACAAUCCUGUCUCAGCAACUCAUGUUGGUUGGUUCCUACAUCCUGCUAGCUCAGAUUCCACUUGUCUGUCUGAAUCACUGUCUGCAAGAUGCAUUUGUAAUUGAGAAGCCAUGUGUUUGUGUAGUUUCAUCACUUUCUUGUAAUCCGAAUACCUAAAAUAAACCUUUUGGAAAAUCUA